UACGGAGGGUGCAAGCGUUAUCCGGAUUUACUGGGUUUAAAGGGUGUGUAGGCGGACUUUUAAGUCCGUGGUGAAAUCUCCGGGCUCAACCCGGAAACCUGCCAUGGAUACUAUUGGUCUUGAAUGUUGUGGAGGUGGGCGGAACGGGUCAUGGUAGCGGUGAAAUGGCUUAGAGAUGACCCGGAACACCGAUUGCGAAGGCAGCCCACUACGCAACUAUUGCGCUGAGGCACGAAAGCGUGGGGAGUCAAACAGGAUUAAGAGUA
rnacentral:rRNA from 1 species